UUGGAGAGAAAUGUUGCAGGUAGCUUUGAAUGUGAGGGAGAAAGUGAGCUGCUUCCAGUCACAGUGCAGGAAGAGAGUUCCUUGAGGGAUUCCUGGGAAAUAUCAGAUCAAGUGCCUUUGAAUUGUCAGAGAGAAAGAUCAAUAUGCAAGAGUUUAUUUUAAAAAGUAAGACUUUAAAUACUCUUUUACAGUGAAGAUUUAAUUUAUGGCUCCAAAGAGAUUUGACCCUAACUGGUCGUGUUUUGGUCUCCAGAUUCAAGGACCUUAUUCUCUGGACUUAUUUACAGCUCAGCACAUAGGCGGUUUUAAACGGGGGCCAGGGGGGGCCAGUGCCCCUGUAAAAUUGCUCCAGGCCCCUGUUGUGGCCCCUGUGCUGAACAGGUAACAAGAUUUAUUAAUUUUGACGUGCGCUGGCUCGAAGAUCGGAACUGACAUGACGGAGUGUUCUACACGGACUCCUUAAAGCGCUACACGCACACUGUUACCUGCAGCAGAAAGACCUGCAGCAGCGCAAAUUGUAAACUUCGGACGUGAGAGAUAACAGCUGCAGCCCUGCAAGGACUAGGCUACUGUAAAGAGGCGAAGUAUAGACCUACUGUAGGCUAUCAUCAUGGAAAGGAGCAAGAAGGACAUUAUGUCCUUUUUUGCCCCUGUUGGCAAAAAGCAACAUAGAGAGAGUAAGGAAGAUGAAGAUUAUGAAAGAGGAGAGAGAGCCAGAGGUGGAGAGAGAGCCAGAGGUGGUGGUUGGAGAGGUGGAAAGUGAGGCAUCUGAAAGGCAAUCUGAGAGUGAGGAUGAAGACAUUCAGGAUCAGAUUGAGGGACAGAAUGAGAGACAACCCAACAAGUCAUUGGGACAACCAGAUUCACCAUGCAUAUCAAGUACAGCACCAUCAGUGACAGUUGAGGGCUUAUAUGGAGGGAGGAAGCAGAGAGGAAAAGAGAGCUUCCCUGUGUGUAUGACAUAAGCAAGCAUUGAAAAGUUCAAAGAAAAAUUCCCCAGGAUUUAAACUGCCUGGCCCAGUGUGUCAGUGUUCUACCACCCCAAAGAAAGUCUUGUCUCGUCUCAUCUCGUCUUCUUCCGCUUAUCUGGGGCCGGGUCGCAGAGGCAGCAGUCUGAGCAUGGAAGCCCAAAUUUCCCUUUCCUCAGACACCUCGGCCAACUCCUCGUUCACCACCCACAGAGGUAGCCGUAGGGGACUGGUGCAGUGUGGAUUGGGUGGCAGUCGAAGGCAGGGGCCUCAACGACCUGAUCCCCGAACACCCCAAAGAAAGUGUUACAAUCCAUGUUCAAGAGCAUAGUGUAGUGACACUGAUACACUGCAAGGAAAUAAUAUAUAGAUUUAGGCACUGCCUAAAAGUGGAGCGCCCAUCUGUUUCUGGGUUGUAGAAUUUUCUUAUAUCAUAGCCAGCCUCUUUUGUUACCUCCACCAAGGAGGUUAUGUUUUCGGUAGCAUUGGUUUGUUUGUUUGUUGAUUUGUCUGUUAGCAACAUUACGGAAAAAGUUAUGAACGGAUUGCUCUGAAAUUUUUUCCAGAGGUGUGACUGGGCACAAGUAACAAUCCAUUAAAUUUUGGCGGUGAUCUGGAUCACCUUCUGGAUCCCGGAUUUUUUAAAGGAUUCUUGGCGGAGGUCUGCGCUCUCCGAGUGCUUUUCUAGUUUUAUUUCUUUAUCGGCUAUAACACUGGCCACUAGGCGGUGUGUAUGACUGGUAAUUACUAACACUGGCCACUAGGCGGUGUGUAUGACUGGUAAUUACUAACACUGACCACUAGGCGGUGUGUCAUCUCAUCAUCUCAUCUCUUGCCGCUUUAUCCUGUUCUACAGGGUCGCAGGCGAGCUGGAGCCUAUCCCAGCUGACUACGGGCGAAAGGCAGGGUACACCCUGGACAAGUCGCCAGGUCAUCACAGGGCUGACACAUAGACACAGACAACCAUUCACACUCACAUUCACGCCUACGCUCAAUUUAGAGUCACCAGUUAACCUAACCUGCAUGUCUUUGGACUGUGGGGGAAACCGGAGCACCCGGAGGAAACCCACGCGGACACGGGGAGAACAUGCAAACUCCACACAGAAAGACCCUCGUCGGCCACAGGGCUCGAACCCGGACCUUCUUACUGUGAGGCGACAGUGCUAACCACUACACCACCGUGCCUAGGUGGUGUGUAUGACUGGUAAUUACUAACGCUGGUAUGGUGGAGGCACGCACAGGACCGAAACGCUAUCAGAAAAUAACUUGAUGGGUUUCUUUGUCUGUCCACACUCCAUGCCUGUGGGGCUCCGCAAAAACUCUGUCAAAAUAAAAGUAACAAGCAAAUCUUCACACUCAAGGCUAAAAUAAAUAUGAUACAUUAAUUGGUAUGUGGGGAGGCCAUGGCCUAAAAGUUAGGGAAGCAGCUUUGGGAGCAAAAGGUUACUGGUUCAAUACCCUGGAUCAGCAGGAAUGAUGGAAAUGGCCUUGAGUAAGGCACCUGACCCCAACUGCUCUGGGUAUGUGUUCUCAUAUCCCCGGGUGGGUUAAAUGCAGAGAACGAAUUUCACUAUACUCUAAUAUACAUGUGACAAAGAAAGGCUUAAAAUUACUAAACAAUUAAAUUAAGAAGGGACAAAAAAAAAGCCAUCUCUACACUAGCAAUUUUAAAACCAAGGUGAGUUUAACAUUAGAAGAAAUUAAAAUGUCAAGUGUUUGUGGUUAAUGUGAAAAGGUUAUGUUCAGCUUAUGUGGCUUUUCACAAUAUUGAUUUUGACCAAAUUGUUUAAACAAAAUGUAUUGCUAAUUUAAAAGCAAACAUUAAAAUUUUGGGGGGUCACUCCGUUGAUUAGCUGCCAUGGUACAGGCUUGCAGCUAUUGCUAUUAUAUUACUCUCACAGACAAUUAACGUGACAAUCAGCUCAAACAAAUAUCUAUUUUAAACACCUCUCAAAAUAACCACCAAAACAUGAAUGCAGUGAUUACUGCAGUUAAUGAUGACACACAGCUGGAACACUAUUAAUGACUAGUUGAGUAGGAGGAGACGCCAAUCAUAAUGAGGACAAAAGACACAAUAAAAGGCCACUGUUGCGCAGUAGCCAGAUGUUGGUGUAUGCAGUUUGGGGAUAAUGGCAACUAAAGGAGCAAGUUUGGUGCUUUUUCUUGUGAGCAGUACAGCUGUCUCUCUAUUAUCUGCAAAAUUGCUUCCUCAAGGUCCUUGGCUGCCAGUGAUGCCUACUUUGCGGCCACAGACACCUAACCAGGUUGAUAAAUGUCAAGUGCAAGGUUAUGAAAGAGUUCUUUGUGGAGAACCUAGUAUAAAUGCUACUCAAUGCAAUGCCAUAAACUGCUGUUUUGAUGGUCAGGUGUGCUAUUAUGGCAAAACUGGUAAGUUUGGUGUACUACUUGAAUUGAAUGGUAAAAAGAAACCUGAACUAACUUCUUUCUUGGUGUUGUUAGUGACUGUCCAGUGUACCCUUGAUGGCCAGUUUGUGGUGGUGGUAGCCAGAGAUACAACACUUCCCAGAAUCAGCCUUGAGUCUAUCAGCCUGCUGGGAGGAAAUGCAGGACCUUGUAGUCCUAUUGACUCAAAUACAGCUUUUGCUAUAUACCAGUUUCCUGUGACUGCUUGUGGGACUAUCAUGACGGUACAAGGUGGCUAUGUGGUCUAUGAGAACAAGAUGGUCUCUUCCUAUGAAAUUGGCGUUGGAGACCGGGGUUCAAUUACAAGGGACACUCACUAUGAGAUUGACUUCCAGUGUAAAUAUUCAGGUAUUGGCUUUGUGGCUCUGGCUGUUGAGCAUUCAUCUAAUAGUAAUCCUCUGCCUGUUGUUGCUUCUGGACCACUCCAAGUAGAACUAAGACUAGGAAAAGGUUCAUGUGUCACAAAAGGUUGUGUAGAAGAACAAGUAGCCUAUACCUCCUACUACACUGCUGCUGACUACCCUGUGACAAAGGUUCUGCGUGAGCCUGUGUAUGUUGAGGUGGGCAUUGCUGGGAGAAGUGACCCGAAUAUUGUCCUGGUUCUGGGUGGCUGCUGGGCAACUGCUUCCCCUAACCCCUAUAGCCUUCCCCAGUGGGACCUUCUGGUGAAUGGAUGUCCGUACAAGGAUGACCGCUAUUUGACCAAGCUGAUCCCAGUGUCCAGGGCAUCUGGACUUGCAUACCCUACUCAUUAUAGACGCUUUGUUCUGAAGAUGUUUACAUUUGUGGAUCAGACUGCUGUGACUCCAUUGCAAGAGAUGCUCUACAUACACUGCAGUACAGUGGUCUGUGUUCCAGCUGCACAAGACUCCUGUGAACCAAUGUGCACCAGGAGAAUGAGGACUGUGAAGCAUUAAGGCCAAUUUAUGCUGACAACCCAGUCCUGGCAGACGGUGUCGCAGAUAGCGUCUGCGUAACCCCCCCACCUUCGCAGACGCUCUGCGCGCACCUCCCAAAAAUUGUGACCACCGCAGAAGCCUUGCAGACAGCAUCACAGACAAGAGGGCUCUGAUUGGUCCACUCUACAUCCGCUGUACACGCACUUCCACUUCCCUACUUUCCCGGUUUGGUUUGUUUUCACGACCGCCAUUUUUAAAAACACGAGCGAAGAUGGAGCAGCACGAAGAGCGGUUGAUCGAGGAAGUGAGGAAGUACAUACAUCUAUACGACUCCAGUUCUGUGUGGGUUUUGUGGAUACCCUGGAUUUUGGAUGGAACUGGAUUCUCUCCCUGACGAGCGGGAUGGCGAGCCAACCGUGUGAACAUCUGGACGGAAGAGGACCCUCUCCUCUUUCAUCUGUCGUCCUGCCCGUGUGGUAGGAUUGAGAAAGACUCACAGAAAUUGAGAGGAACUAUUCUUUUUUUUAUUGUUUUCGGAAAAGAAGAGACUUCUUUUUUUUAUUGUUUUCGGAAAAGAAGAGACUUUUUUUUUUAAAGGGUACACCCAAUUUAAAAGACACUUUAAAAGAAAACAAACUGAAAGCCAGCUGUAUUUGUAAAAGUGCUUUAUUUUUUUGUGUGUUCAUACAUUGAUCUUGUUCAAACUCACCUCUGCAUGUUUCCUGUUACUCAAUUGGUGUCAAAUCCUAAACUCCAUCAUCACCUCUCCCUGCGAAUCUAGAGAAUUCUGGUCCAGUGGUCACUUACCUGCCAGGUGGGUUACACUUACUUGCCACAGAUUGUGUUUAGAGGGUAAAUGGGAAUGAGUUGUACCUGGAAUAAGGUGUACUGGAACAAGUAACGCCACCUUGUAAUGGGGAGCAAGUUGCGUCCACUGGUGUUAAAUUAUUCCAGAACAAAUUGUGCUGAAAUGGGCUCAAGGAUCAAGAAGGAAUGUGUGUGUGAAUGUGAGGGAUGAUGGUGGAAUGGUGACAAUUCAAGGAGUAGAGGUACCAAAAGUGGAUGAGUUUAAAAACUUGGAAUCAAUUGUUCACGGUGAUGGGGAGUGCUGAAGAGAGGUGGAGAAAAGAGUGCAGCCAGGGUGGAGUGGGUGGAGAAGAGAGCCAGGAGUGAUUUGCAACAGAAGGGUACCAACAAAAGUGAAAGGGAAGGCGUGCAAGAUGAUGGUGAGACCAGCCAUGUUAGAUGUGUUGGAGACCGUGGCACUGACAAAAAGACAGGAGUUAGAGCUGGAGGCAGCAGAGUUAAAAAUGCUAAGUCAAGUCAAGUUUAUUUGUAUAGCGCUUUUAACAAUAAACAUUGUCGCAAAGCAGCUUUACAGAAUUUGAAUGACUUAAAAC